AUCAGAGACUCAGCAGCUGACGCUGUUCAGCAUGAGCUCUGGUAGAGACAAUAGAAGCCAUUUUCUUGUGGACACAGCCCGAUACAGAUUCAUCUGGUACAUCAGCGUUUUGGCUGGUCAAGCCCUUAAUGAAAACCCUGCUGCUAUGUGAAGUUUGCACAUGGGAACUUUUUUCCUGGUUGGUUCAUAAUUGGGGUGAAGCAGCAUAUCCCGCUAGCUGGGAUUCCUUACAUCUAGGGAAUUGUCUCCCCACGGUCGCUCUCUCUCGGGCUCCCGCCCUGUUUAUCUCAGAACACCACCCACCGUGGGUUCCUGACGAAGCCCAUACAGGGCGAAACUAGUUGAACCUUCAACACGAGUGGCAUGAAGCAGACUAUUUGCAGCCAUUUGCAUUUACAGUACUUUUUCUAUCCAAAUAUGAUUGUUUUUAGCAUUUGUUAAAAUAUAUUUAUUCUAAAUUUGUAUUAAUACAUUUUUCUUAUUUUCUACUUAAACGCUCAUCGUAUAUAUGUGAUUCAGAUGAUUGGGGUUUGACUAAACUCUUGUACACAUAUCUACUCUAUUCAUCUAUCAUGCAUCACCAAAAUCCCACACCAUAUCCUGUCAUGGGAAACACCUCUAAUCCUGGGAACUAUGUCAUAGGUAGAGUUCUCGCCUUCCUACAGUUAGAAGUGGAGAUGAAGCUAGCCUUGAGUACUAUCAAGGGUCAAGUCUCGGCCUUGUCAGUAUUUUUCCAAAAGCCACUUGCUUCACAUUCUUUGGUCCAGGCUU